rnacentral:misc_RNA from 1 species
GAUGAAGAACGUAGCGAAAUGCGAUAAGUAAUGUGAAUUGCAGAAUUCAGUGAAUCAUCGAAUCUUUGAACGCACCAUGCGCCCUUUGGCUAUUCCGAAGGGCAUGCCUGUUUGAGUAUCAUGAACACCUCAACUCUCGUGGCUUGCCAUGAUGAGCUUGGACUUUGGGGGUUUUGCUGGCCUAUGGCCGGCUCCUCUCAAAUGAAUUAGCUUGCCAGUGUUUGGUGGCAUCACAGGUGUGAUAAAUAUCUACGCUUGUGGUUUUCCACCAGGUAACCUUCAGUGGAUGGAGGUUCGCUGGGGCUCAUAAACGUCUCUCCUCAGUGAGGACAGCUCUUUGAACGUUUGAUCUCAAAUCAGGUAGGACUACCCGCUGAACUUAAGCAUAUCAAUAAGCGGAGGA